rnacentral:rRNA from 1 species
UACGAAGGGGGCUAGCGUUGCUCGGAAUUACUGGGCGUAAAGGGCGCGUAGGCGGAUAGUCUAGUCAGAGGUAAAAGCCCAGGGCUCAACCUUGGAACUGCCUUUGAUACUGGCUAUCUUGAGUUCGGGAGAGGUGAGUGGAAUGCCGAGUGUAGAGGUGAAAUUCGUAGAUAUUCGGCGGAACACCAGUGGCGAAGGCGACUCACUGGCCCGAUACUGACGCUGAGGCGCGAAAGCGUGGGGAGCAAACAGG